rnacentral:rRNA from 1 species
UACGAAGGGGGGCUAGCGUUGUUCGGAAUUACUGGGCGUAAAGGGCGCGUAGGCGGUGUGUCAAGUCAGGCGUGAAAGCCCCGGGCUCAACCUGGGAACAGCGCUUGAGACUGGCACGCUCGAGUUCGGGAGAGGAUGGUGGAAUUCCCAGUGUAGAGGUGAAAUUCGUAGAUAUUGGGAAGAACACCGAUGGCGAAGGCAGCCAUCUGGACCGACACUGACGCUGAGGUGCGAAAAGCGUGGGGAGCAAACAGG